CUGGGAGGAACAAGACCAGAAUGUGUUUUCGUGGCUCUUGAAUUCUAUCUCAGAUUCAAUAAGACCUCGUGUGGUAGGAUGCACCACUUCUUUUCAACUCUGGCAGGAAUUGCACUCUUUUUGUAAUGCUCACACUAAAGCAAGAAGUCGCCAACUUAGGGCACAACUUCGUAGUGUUUCACAAGGUUCCAAUUGCAUCUCUGAUUAUUUUUCAAAAAUCAAGAUGUUAACUGAUUCCUUUGCUUCAAUUGGAACGCCAAUUACCUUGGAGGAACAUGUUGAUUUUGUUCUAGACGGUCUCAAUGAAGAAUUUCAUCCACUCAUUACUACUAUUGAAGGACAGACGCAUCCUCCUUCUGUCAAUGAGUUAGAGCAAUUUCUUCUCACUUUUGAAUCAAGGUUAGUGAAAAAUAAACACAAAACUGUGUCUGAUGCGUUUUCUGCUAAUAUUGCUACCACUGAAUCUUCUCCUACUCAAUCCCCUGCUUCUGUCACCAACACUCCUCUUCUUCCUCAUCCACCUUAUCGUGCUCGUUUUCCUUCAAUGCCUCUAUUUCGUGGUUCAUCUAAUCAAACUUAUGGUGGAUCUCGUGGAGGGGGACGCUUUGGCAGACGAGGUCGUGGUAAUAGGUCAUCUGGCAGAACUUCAGUAUACUUCUGUGAGUAUUGCAAUAGACAUGGUCAUGAUGUGACCUGGUGUUAUUUUGCUCCAUAUGAUACCUCCUACACAAUGCCUUCUGCUUAUGAUCACAACUACAAUACUCAACAAUUUUCAGACUCUUAUGCUUCAUUUGGUCAUCCUCCAGUGCUACAGAAUCCUGCUUAUGGAGUGCCUCAUCAUUAUACAAGGCCAAGAACAUCUCUCUAUUCCUAUAAUCAACCAAGACCUUCAUACAAUUCACAUUCCUCAAGUCACUAUUUGACAAAUCCUAAAGGCACUGUUAGACUUGAUACUCAUCAGCCACCUUAUGCAAUGAAUGUGACCAACACUGUUCAAGAUUUCAACAAAACAUCUAUGUGGUAUCCAGAUUCAGGUGCUACAAAUCAUCUAACUGCUGAUUCAUCCUUGUUAGCUGAUCCUACAGAGCAGUUUGCCUCUGAUCACAUCUAUAUGGGUAAUGGUCAUAAAGCUCCUAUUCACCAACACUCCUCUUCUUCCACAUCCCCCUUAUCGUGCUCGUUUUCCUUCAAUGCCUCUAUUUCGUGGUUCAUCUAAUCAAACUUAUGGUGGAUCUCGUGGAGGGGGACGCUUUGGCAGACGAGGUCGUGGUAAUAGGUCAUCUGGCAGAACUUCAGUAUACUUCUGUGAGUAUUGCAAUAGACAUGGUCAUGAUGUGACCUGGUGUUAUUUUGCUCCAUAUGAUACCUCCUACACAAUGCCCUCUGCUUAUGACCACAACUACAAUGCUCACUUUAAGUCCCCUUUUGACUCUAAUAUAUCUAUGUCAUUGUAUAAUCUGCUUCUUGUUCCAUCAUUAUACAAGGCCAAGAACAUCUCUCUAUUCCUAUAAUCAACCAAGACCUUCAUACAAUUCACAUUCCUCAAGUCACUAUUUGACAAAUCCUAAAGGCACUGUUAGACUUGAUACUCAUCAGCCACCUUAUGCAAUGAAUGUGACCAACACUGUUCAAGAUUUCAACAAAACAUCUAUGUGGUAUCCAGAUUCAGGUGCUACAAAUCAUCUAACUGCUGAUUCAUCCUUGUUAGCUGAUCCUACAGAGCAGUUUGCCUCUGAUCACAUCUAUAUGGGUAAUGGUCAUAAAGCUCCUAUUACUUGCAGUGGCAAUGCUCACUUUAAGUCUCCUUUUGACUCUAAUAUAUCUAUGUCAUUGUAUAAUCUGCUUCUUGUUCCCACUAUUACAAAAAAUCUUCUUAGUGUGUCUCAAUUUGCCAAGGACAAUCAUUGCUUUUUUGAAUUCCAUCCUAACCAUUGUCUUGUUAAAUCACAGGCUACUAAACAGGUUCUCCUUAAAGGCUCUCUCACUGCAAAGGGACUCUAUGCCUUCUCAAGUCUUGUUAAACCUUCUUCAAUUCACUGUAAUUUCAGUUCUG
rnacentral:lncRNA from 1 species